UUCUCAUACUCUUUUCUGCAAGAAUUCUGAAACAAAAAAGAUGGCAUACAAUCUUCAAUCCCUCAUCACCAUCCUACAACAAAUCCUCGAUCCCGAACAAACCCACUGGACUUUCGAUCACAACAAACCCCAACUCGAAUCACUGCUCCAAAAAGCUGAAUCUCUGAUGCAGAUUCUUGCAAAGUCUUCACCCUCCCAAAUAGCAACUUUGGAGGGUCAAAUCAGAGAUUCAACAUACAAAGCAGAAGAUCUUAUUGAAUCACACAUGGUUCAUCAAAUGCUUUCCAAAACCAAAAACAAUAUAUUGACAUUUUUCAAACCCAAAUCCAAGAGAUUGACCUUUUCCACACCUGAUCUGCAGCUAGUCACUCAAGACCUUCAUUCUGCAGUGGUUUCCAUGACGGAGAAGAUGCCGACUUCAUCAGAUUUGCAGCAGGCAACUCAACAACUUGAAUCUAUGACGCUCGUGGAAGUGGAGGAAAAGAGUGCUUCUUCCUCCAGAUCUAAGAGUUAUUUGGUGGGAGUUGAUGAAGAUCUGUUGGAGUUAAAGGAUCGUCUCACGAAUUCGGAGAAGAAGGUGAAGAUCAUACCCCUAGUUGGUAUGGGUGGUAUAGGCAAGUCCACCCUUGCUCGAAAACUUUACGAAGAUCCGCAUACUGCUUCUCACUUUAAUUAUCGUGGGUGGGCUGCGAUUUCGCAAGUUCCAAAUGUGCGGGAAAUUAUGUUGAGUCUUCUUCGUGGCCCGGAUGAAAAGGUCAGCAAUGAACUGAUUGGAUGCGGAGAAAAUGAGUUGAAAGAAAUAUUAUAUAAGAGAUUGUUUGGAAGAAGAUACAUGAUUGUGUUGGAUGAUAUAUGGAGCAAGAAAGUCUGGGACAAGAUAAGGAUGCAUUUUCCGGAUAAUAAUAACGGGAGUAGGAUUGUGAUCACCACUAGGGAUUCUGAAGUGGCGGAACAUGUUGCAGGCUCGCAGAGUCUGCAUCAUGUGCAGUUGCUAGACGAGUUUGCAAGUUGGGAUUUACUUUGCCAGAUUGUUUUUGGGGAAGAGGAUUGCCCUGACGAAUUGCAAGAGGUGGCAGCUAAGAUUGGGAGUGAUUGCAGUGGGCUUCCUCUUGCCAUUCAUGUGAUUGGAGGGCUCUUGUCAAAGGUUGAACGAUCAAGAGAUGUAUGGGAGAAUCUUUCAACCUAUGUAAAAGCUUCAAUUAUUGAAUCGGACGAGCAUUUCUCCAAUAUACUAUCCUUGAGUUAUAAUCACUUGCCGAUUCACUUGAAACCGUGUUUCUUGUAUAUGGGAGCUUUUCCAGAAGAUUAUGUGAUUAAGGGAUCUAGGCUUAAGAGUAUGUGGAUAGCUGAAGGAUUUGUGAAAUCAAAUGGCGAGAGGAGUUUGGAGGAAGAGGCUGAGGAUCACUUAAAAGCUUUAGUGGAGAGGAAUCUAAUUUUGGUUAGAUGGAAAAAAACCAAUGGGAAACCACAGAGUUACUCAAUCCAUGAUCUGUUGAGGGAUUUGUGCAUAAGGAAGGCUAAUGAGGAGAAGUUUUUAAAAGUCAAGAAUUCCAUUCGCCAUGUAAGUGUUCAGUCAUCAUAUGAAAUGGAAGUUGUGCAUGCUUUACCCCAAUUGAUGUCAUUUACUCGAUCUUUUAUAUGCACUGACGAGGUUAGUUUUUCUCCUGUCCUUUCCAUAUUAAGAUUGGUUAGGGUGCUAGAUGUAAUGGAAAUGGUAUUCGAGGAGUUCCCAGAAGAAAUAUUACAACUUGUGAACCUACGUUACUUAGCCUUCUCCUGCACUUCGGGUUUACCUAUUGGAAUAUCAAGAUUGUGGAAUCUGCAAACCUUGAUUUGUGGACAAACGACGGAGCUUCAUUUGCCAUCUGAAAUAUGGGAGAUGUCUGAGUUAAGACAUCUCAGGUUGCUCACAUCAAUUGAAAUUGAGGAAGGAUACAAGAUAAGAUUUGUUCAUAAGAGGCUGCAGUCAAUUUACAGUGUUUGGAUAACUCCUUCACUGAUUAGGAAUGGUUUCUUAGAGAUAAUCCCAAAUGUCAUAAAGUUAGGAAUCUUUUACAUCGACACACCCAACAUUGAUAUUGAUCUUAGCCAUCUUCACAAACUUGAAAAUUUAAGAUGUGAUUCUGAGUUGGAUGAAGAUGGUAGCCGUUUUCUGAACAAACUAAGAUUUCCAUGUAGUAUCAGAAAGUUAUCAAUAUUUAAAUGUGUAGUAUCUCGGAGUUUCUUGACAGCUCUGUGUGGACUACCGAAUCUGGAAGUGCUCAAAAUAGUGAAUUGUGUGUUUGAAAGAGACGGAGAGGCAGAGGAAGAAGAGUGGGAGGUGACAGAAGGAGAUGGAUUCCGUUCAUUGCAGUUUCUGCACCUCCAGUCCUUAAAUAUAGUGCGAUGGAGAGCCAACGAGACCAACUUCCCUAAACUCCGUGAGCUGCAACUAACCAGAUGCAAAGAGCUAGAGGAAAUCCCCUGUGACAUUGGAGAUAUCCCAACUCUCCAAGAAAUUUACAUAGAAGAAUGUGACGCUUCUGUAGUGGCUUCAGCACAACAAAUUCAAAAGGUGCAGCAAGACGAGUACGACAACUAUGACCUCAAAGUGUUUAUUUAUGAUUAGAAGCCAAAAGGUAAAAAUGCAAAAAAGAAUGCUCCAUCUGUUCAUACAAACAAUCUUGUCCUUAAUUUGUUGAUCCCGACUUCUGAUUAUUAAACUGUAUGUCUUCUGUAUGGUGUAUCAUCUUCUGCAACUAGGAUAGUUUCAGCAACGCGCAAGCUGAACAUAUGCACUGCAAUAGAAGUGUUUCGGAGUUUCUUGGCAACUCUAUGUGGACUACCGAAUCUGGAAGUGCUCUCAAUAUGCCAAUGUGUGUUUGAAAGAAACGGAGAGGCAGAUGAAGAAGAGUGGGAGAUGACAGAAGGAGAUGAAUUCCGCUCGCUGCAGUGUCUGUGCCUCGAUUCCUUAAAUAUAGCGCGUUGGAGAGCCAACAAGACCAACUUUCCUAAACUCCUGGAGCUGCAUGUAAAAGAAUGCAAUGAGCUGUAUUGGAAACAUCCCAACCCUCCAAACAAUUUUAGUAUGUGGAUGUGGCUCUUCUGUAGUGUCCUCGGUGCAAGAAAUUCUGAGGGUUCAGCAAGAGGAGUACGACAACUACGACAUCAAAUUGAUUAAACAAGAUUAGAAGCCAAAAGUGACAUUGGAGAUAUCCCAACUCUCCAAAUAAUUGGCAUACGUGGAUGUGGCGCUUCUGUAGUGGCCUCAGCUCUACGAAUUAAGAAGGUGCAGCAAGAGGAGUACAACAUCUACGACCUCAAAGUGCGUAUAGAAAAUUAGAAGCCAAAAGGUAAAAAUGCUGAACUCCGAGCAAUCAAAAGCAUGCUCCAACUGUAUGGUGUAACGUUUCCUGCAACUCGGAUAGUUUUAGCAACACGCAAGAAUCACUCAUGGCUCAAGCCAAACGUAUGCACUGAGCAUAUUCAUGUUUGUAAGAUUUAGAUUUGGCAUUGUCUAGCUAUAUAUUAGCGUGUACUCUUGUUUUUUUUGGUCUUUUUUUUUCA